UUUCCUCUUCACACACUCCCUUUCUAAUUCACACACUCUCACUCACUCACUCACUCACUCACUCACUCUCUCUCUCUUCCCCUCGAACACACUCGUCACUCUCUCUUCCCUCCGGCUACCGCUGCUGCUUCUACCAGCUUCUUCCCCACCACCGCCCGUGCCAAAUUCACUACCAUCGCCGCUGCCAAUUAAGUGAACCACCCCCUUAAGGAAACCAUCUUAUUGGAUGGGCGCAAUUAUCAGCAUUGGCUUAUUCUAAUGGAGUUUCCUACUGACCCUAAACCUUCUAAUGAAGAAAUAAUUGAUUCUUAUGUUAACACCCUAAAUCCAAUUGUUGGCAGUGAGAAAGAGGCGAAGAAGAUUUACUCUGUUUCAACGACGACAUAUACUGGGUAUGGUGCUUUGAUUUCUAAGGAGAUGACUUACAAAGUUAAAGUUCAGUUGAAAGAUAAGGACUUCCAUUCUAUGGGGCACAGGAAAGCAGCAGGAAUGGGGGGAUUGAUAAUUUACUGCAAAGUCCUGCUUUUCCAGUACAACCAGUAAACAUGAACGACACUCAUGUACAUCUGUCAAAAUUGAAGGAAGAGGUAGAUACAUCUGAUGUAGCCCCCGAAUCCUUGAGGAGUGUGACCAGAACUAACAGACCACAAUCAAGAGGAGCUGAAAGUGAGAAACAAGAGACACAUGGUGAUAGUUGAAGAGAAAAGUAAAUGCAUCGGAGGGUGUACUCUGACUCUUUGAUUGGAUUACAGCCAAGGAUGCUAGAUUAAAACUUGCAUCUUCAAGGUAUUCAACAAUCCUAUGGAGCAGCCUUUACCAUUGAGUAGAUAAAUGAAGUUCGAGAAAAGUUGGCAAACUUCAUUUCCAUUUAUUGUCUUUGAUAUUUUGUUGUAGUGAAUCUUAGAUUAUGGAUGCUAGUUUUUCAUAGGAUUGUAAUGUAAUCAAUUUUUAUAUUUACAAUUAUAUACUAUUCGAUUUAAUUA